rnacentral:tRNA from 1 species
GCCUGGGUGGCUCAGUCGGUUAAGCGUCCGACUUCGGCUCGGGUCAUGAUCUCACGGUCCGUGAGUUCGAGCCCCGCAUCGGGCU